rnacentral:rRNA from 1 species
GAUGAACGCUAGCGGCAGGCUUAACACAUGCAAGUCGAGGGGCAGCAUAAAUAGUAGCAAUACUAUUGGUGGCGACCGGCGGACGGGUGCGUAACGCGUAUACAACCUUCCCUAAACAGGGGGAUAAUCUGGAGAAAUUCGGUCUAAUACCCCAUAACAUCAGAGCAGGCAUCUGUUUUGGUUAACAUUUCCGGAGGUUUAGGAUGGGUAUGCGUAGCAUUAGCUAGUUGGUGAGGUAACGGCUCACCAAGGCGACGAUGCUUAGGGGGACUGAGAGGUUAACCCCCCACACUGGUACUGAGACACGGACCAGACUCCUACGGGAGGCAGCAGUGAGGAAUAUUGGUCAAUGGGCGGAAGCCUGAACCAGCCAUGCCGCGUGCAGGAUGACGGCUCUAUGAGUUGUAAACUGCUUUUGUACGAGGGUAAAGUGGGCUACGUGUAGCCUUUUGAAAGUAUCGUACGAAUAAGGAUCGGCUAACUCCGCGCCAGCCGCCGCGGUAA